UACGAGGGGGGCAAGCGUUGUUCGGAAUUAUUGGGCGUAAAGGGCGCGUAGGCGGCGUCAUAAGUCACUUGUGAAAUCUCUGGGCUCAACUCAGAGCCUGCAAUCGAAACUGUGGUGCUGGAGUAUGGGAGAGGUGCGUGGAAUUCCCGGUGUAGAGGUGAAAUGCGUAGAUAUCGGGAGGAACACCUGUGGCGAAGGCGGCGCACUGGACCAUAACUGACGCUGAGGCGCGAAAGCGAGGGGAGCAAACAGG
rnacentral:rRNA from 1 species